UACAUGUGGGGCAAGCGUUGUUCGGAAUUACUGGGCCUAAAGGGUGCGUAGGCGGCUUGUUAAGUCAGGGGUGAAAGUUUUCGGCCCAACCGGAAAAUUGCCUUUGAUACUGGCGAGCUGGAGUGCGUGAGGGGUGACCGGAACGAGUGGUGUAGCGGUGAAAUGCGUAGAUAUCACUCGGAAGGCCAACGGCGAAGGCAGGUCACUGGUGCGCAACCGACGCUGAGGCACGAAAGCGUGGGGAGCAAACAGG
rnacentral:rRNA from 1 species